AGACUUUCAUAUUUUCUUCUGCUAUUCUAUUUCUCUUCAUGGAUUGUUAACUUCUUCAUUCUAGCCAAGGGUUUAUCAAGGUUUUUUUGAUUCAUCGAAUUGUGAGAUUAUCGUUCUUCAUGUUGUUAGAUUCUUGAAUAUUUUUACAUCUUCUGUUCUUCAUAUUAUUAUUGAUUUGUGAAUUGCAUGCAUUGCAUGAAUUGGCCACUCUUCAAUUUGUCAAAUUAAUAUAAACCAAUUAAGAUCUUCUCAUCCGUAAUUGUGGAAAGAUUUUAAUCCGUGUGGUGAAUAACUUAGGUUAUGAAGGUGCAAAAUGUAGUUUAAAUUAUCCGUGCUGGAGUGAGAUGAUUGGCUAGAAUUGGGUCCUCUAAAUCAUAAGGCUAUUGGUAAGUUAAAUCCUAGGAGCGUAUCUGCGGGACUAUUUAUCAACAAGAGAAGUAAUCAUUCGAACAUCUCUUUGACUACCAAGAAUUUAAGGAGUGAUUAGAAUAUUAGAGCGUUUUGAGUAGCUAUAACCAAUUUAUUCAAGAAGUUUAGAAAAUUAUUUACAAAAUCAAUGAUCAAUCCAUGGAUUAAAAACUGCGAUUUCCCUUGGCUGGAUAUUUAUCAAACAUUGAAUUUUCCUAAAUCUUACUGUUUUGAAGGCAUUAUUUGUUAUUAGUUUUUAUUCCAAAUUGAACUAUUAAAACCCCCCUCAAUUUUAUUUUCUCAUUUAUUUUUUAGGAACUAGUCUAAUCCCACUCCCUGUGGAUUCAACCUUGCUCACCACUCUUCAAAAGUUUGUUUUUUUCUUUCUUUUCGA
rnacentral:lncRNA from 1 species